AUUGAACGCUGGCGGCAUGCCUUACACAUGCAAGUCGAACGGCAGCACGGGAGCAAUCCUGGUGGCGAGUGGCGAACGGGUGAGUAAUGUAUCGGAACGUGCCCAGUCGUGGGGGAUAACGUAGCGAAAGCUACGCUAAUACAGCAUACGAUCUGUGGAUGAAAGCGGGGGACCGUAAGGCCUCGCGCGAUUGGAGCGGCCGAUAUCAGAUUAGGUAGUUGGUGGGGUAAAGGCCUACCAAGCCGACGAUCUGUAGCUGGUCUGAGAGGACGACCAGCCACACUGGGACUGAGACACGGCCCAGACUCCUACGGGAGGCAGCAGUGGGGAAUUUUGGACAAUGGGCGCAAGCCUGAUCCAGCAAUGCCGCGUGUAGGAUGAAGGCCUUCGGGUUGUAAACUGCUUUUGUACGGAGCGAAAAGGCUCUCUCUAAUACAGGGGGCUCAUGACGGUACCGUAAGAAUAAGCACCGGCUAACUACGUGCCAGCAGCCGCCGUAACAC
rnacentral:rRNA from 1 species